CGGACUAUCAAGACAUAAAAUCUAAAUCCUGGUCAGAUCCCUUUUGUUUACAUAACUGUAAAAUAACAAUAAGUUGGUUUGGUGGUCUGUUGAGAUUAACUAUUAUGCCUUAUGAGACCAACUUAGGUUGGGCGGGUCUGGCCAUUAUACCUUAGUGAACUGUUUGUGUUAGAUUCUUGUUUGAAUCCAUGGUUGUUUGAGCUCCAAGUCCAAACGUUCAAGCCCAUGUUAGUUUGAACAAAGUUUACAAAUCUCAAAUCUCAAGUAGCAUCAAUCAGCAAAACUCUGUUCGAAGUAGGACAUCUAUACUAUCUACUCUCUAGUCUUUGCACCUUGGAGUUCCCAUAAGUUACAAACAAGCCAACUUCUCAUCUAGUCUGGAGCUGUAUUGACGUACAAAUGAGUAUUAUGAGUUUGUGUGUCAAACUGGGUGUUCCUCAGCCUGCUCAUCCGGUCUUAUUGCCUACCCCUGUUGCCAACAACAAUAAUAAAAUUAGAAGUUCAGUUCUAACUCUACCAUCAAAUGGAGGCAAACUUGCUAACUCAGCUUUACAAGAUGAAACUCACAAACACUUACAGUUUCAGCCAUUAGUUGAUGUCCUACGUGACUGUGCAGAUAAAGGGUCUGUAAAACGAGCAAAAGCGGUUCAUGGGUUGUUGUCAAAAUUGGAUUUUUCGGAUAGGGACUUGAUGGUCUUGUUAAACCAUGUAGCUCAUGUGUACUCUAAAUGUUCGGAUUUUGAUGCUGCUCGUCGAGUGUUUGAUAAAAUGUCUGAGAGAAACAUAUUUUCUUGGACGGUCAUGAUUGUUGCUUGUACUGAGAAUGGCUUCUUUCUUGAAGGAUUCAAGUUCUUCUGUGAGAUGUUGAAUCAUGGUAUCUUACCUGAUGAGUUUGCAUAUUCAUCGGUUGUCCAGACGUGUAUUGGUUUGGAGUGUGUUGAAUUGGGUAGAAUGGUUCAUGCCCAGAUUGUUAUAAGAGGCUAUGCAUGUCAUACGUUUGUUAGUACGUCUCUUCUUAAUAUGUAUGCCAAAUUGGGAAUGAUUGAAGUGUCCAAUAAGGUAUUUGAGACCAUGACUGAACAUAAUCAAGUCUCAUGGAAUGCAAUGAUAUCGGGGUUUACAGGGAAUGGUCUUCACUUCGAAGCAUUUGAUCAUUUUCUUAGAAUGAAGAAAGGAGGCAUUACACCAAAUAUUUCCACACUUAUUAGCGUUUCAAAAGCAGUUGGAAACUUAGGUGAUGUCAGAAAGGGCAAAGAGGUUCAGAAUUAUGUUUCUGAAUUGGGUUUGGAGUCUAAUGUUCUUGUUGGAACAGCUAUAAUUGAUAUGUUCUCAAAAUGUGGGUCAUUGAGAGAUGCAAGAUCUGUUUUUGACUCAAGUUUCACCUGUUGUGGAGUUAACACACCUUGGAAUGCAAUGAUUUCAGGCUAUUCUCAGUAUGGGUUUAGCCAAGAAGCAUUGGAACUUUUUGUAGAAAUGUGUCGAAAUGAUAUAAAAUCUGAUGUUUACACUUAUUGCAGUGUGUUCAAUGCUAUUGCCACUUUAAAGCUUUUGCGAUUCGGAAAGGAAGUUCAUGGGAUGGUUCUGAAGAGUGGAUUAAAUAUGAAAGUUGUAAGUGUUUCCAAUGCAAUUGCUGAUACAUAUGCCAAAUGUGGGUUGCUUGAAGAUGUAAGGAAGGUAUUUGAUAGGAUGGAAGAGAGAGAUAUAGUGUCUUGGACAACCCUGGUGACUGCUUACUCUCAAUGUUCUGAAUGGGAGGAAGCACUAGCCAUCUUCUCUCAGAUGAGGGAAGAAGGCUUUAUACCCAAUCAGUUUACCUUUUCUAGCGUGCUUGUUGCUUGCACCAGCCUUGGUUUACUUGAGUAUGGUCAUCAAGUCCAUUCUCUUCUUUGCAAGGCUGGCUUGGACACUGAUAACUGCAUAGAAAGUGCUCUAAUUGACAUGUAUGCCAAAUGUGGUAGUAUAACUGAAGCGCGUAAGGUUUUUGAGAAAGUAUCUAACCCUGACACUGUUACAUGGACAGCUGUUAUAUCAGGUUAUGCUCAACAUGGUCUGGUGGAGGAUGCUCUUCAACUCUUUAGCCAGAUGAAUCAGUUAGGUACAAAUGCCAAUGCUGUUACCUUGCUGUGUGUCCUGUUUGCUUGCAGCCACGGAGGAAUGGUGGAGGAGGGCCUAAAUUAUUUUCAACAAAUGGAGGACAGUUAUGGCCUGGUGCCAGAGAUGGAACAUUAUGCAUGUGUUGUUGAUCUCUUAGGUCGAGUUGGCCGUCUGGAUGAUGCAAUGGAUUUUAUAGAAAGGAUGCCCAUUGAGCCCAAUGUGAUGGUCUGGCAGACCUUGUUGGGAGCAUGUAGGGUCCAUGGCAACAUUGAGUUAGGAGAGAUUGCUGCCCAGAAAAUUCUUUCAAUUAUGCCCGACUACUCAGCUACCUAUGUACUUCUAUCCAACACGUAUAUCGAGAAAGGGAGCUAUGAAGAUGGACUUAAUUUGAGAGAUAUGAUGAAAGAGCAAGGCGUGAAAAAGGAACCGGGAUAUAGUUGGAUUUCUGUCAAAGGUAGAAUCCAUAAAUUUUAUGCAGGUGAUCAACAGCAUCCUCAAAAAGAGGCCAUAUAUGCGAAGCUAGAAGAGUUGAGGGCGAAGAUCAGAUCCAUGGCUUAUGUACAAGACUUGAACUCUGUAUUGUGAGAUGUGGAUUACAGAUAAAAGCUUUGUAUGACUGGUGGAAGCCCAUCAAAAGAUAUAAACUUCUACAUGCCAAUAUUUCUAGUAAAUAUAAACACAUAAAUGGGCACACAUCUUUCACAAACACAUGUACCUCUUUGAGUAGAACUUCCACAUUUAGAGAUGCCGAGGAGAACUUACAAAUGUGGCUGAUGAAUUCCUGUUGAUGAAUGUUUAGUGAUAGGUGUAAGUGUCGUGCUUAACCUAUGACUCCUACAGCCUUGUCUUUCAUAAUUGAGGAAGGCUGAGUACCUAAAAAGCAGAGAGCCAAUGGGAAAUAUUUUUGAGAACAAUGCAGGAAACUGAUGUGGGCUUGGAUACCAAUAUUGACACUACUUUCAAGAAUAAAGGUCUUCCCACAGACUUUGUGAUCCAUAUGCUUAUUAUGAAUGAUUUGAGAGAGUAACUUGUGGGUAUUAUUAUUUGUCAUGGAGAGGCAAUCUUGGCAUUAUAUUAAUCAAACAGGGUGUUUUAGAACAUCCUUAACCAGGUCAUCCACCAUUGCAAAGCAGUUGAAAACAGUGGAACAGUGGCUCAAGGUGUACAAAGACAAGGUAAUGGUUUCCUUCUUCGAUGUGGCAAAAUAAGAACGAAAAGCUUGAUUUCUGUUAAUUGAUUUUAGAAAUGAGCAUGAUUCAAUCAUGAGUCCUACUGCCUUUAAUUAUGUAAUUGCAGAACUGAAUAAUGAAUUGCACUUUGUUCGUGUGGCUGAUUAAAUAAAAAAGAAAGAAUCAUGCUUCUUUGGAUAAUGUAUUAUUGAAUGCUUUUUUGCAUAUAUGGAGCUUGCAGUCAAUUCUCGCUGCUGUCAAUUCUUUGCAGUCAAAACCAGAACAACCAACCUGCUAGAAGCAGAACCCAAAAAAACCAGCAGCGGAGCUGCACUAAAUGCACCCUUCUAAGUAACUAUACUACAACAGAACAACAAAGUCCCAUGCACUCAAAAAACAAAACAGAAAACAAAAAUUCCAGAAACUAUUGGGUCUGCAGUACACAUAUACAGCAAAGGGAAACAGCAGAUAGUCUAAAACCAUUUAAUAAGAACAGAAUAGGGAAUCCAACAUUUAACUCGAUUUAAAACUCAAAUUUUCAUUUCUGUUCCAGCAGCUAAUCUGCCCCACAUUAGCCAUUGCUGCAAAAGAUGGCAAAAGAUCUGAGACACAAGGCAAAAAGAAAAACCUUUUCUUAAACACUUGGUGUAAGAAAAAAAAUUGUAUACCCAUCUACUUUCUUUUUCUAAAGAGUUUGACAGUCUCUUGGAGUGAAUAUAUCACUUCUCUCUCACACAUCUUUUUCCCUUUCUUUUUGAGAAUUUUCAUAGUUAGAUGGCAAAA